rnacentral:rRNA from 1 species
AUUGAACGCUGGCGGCAGGCCUAACACAUGCAAGUCGAGCGAGCGGCGGACGGGUGAGUAAUGUAUGGGGACUGCCCGAUAGAGGGGGAUAACUACUGGAAACGGUGGCUAAUACCGCAUACUAUCGGAUAACCCAUAUGGGAUUAGCUAGUGGGUGGGGUAAAGGCUCACCUAGGCGACGAUCUCUAGCUGGGUUGAGAGAAUGAACAGCCACACUGGGACUGAGACACGGCCCAAACUCCUACGGAGGCAGCAGUGGGGAAUCUUGCACAAUGGGCGCAAGCCUGAUGCAGCCAUGCCGCGUGUAUGAAGAAGGCUUUCGGGUUGUAAAGUACUUUUAGCGGUGAGGCGUUAACCGCAGAAGAAGCACCGGCUAACUCCGUGCCAGCAGCCGCGGUAAUAC